CAUCAUGCUAAUUCGAGGAUGAUUUUCUUCAUGGUUUAUUUAUCUCCAACAAUUUACCACUUAUUUCCUGGUUAAUGUUAGAAGUCAGGAUAUAACUUGUUUUUCUUGGAUGAUAUGAGUCAUAUCUUCACACAAGUUCAUCAUAGUUUAGGGAGAAGAACGUCGCCUCUCGAGAUUCCCCGGGAUGUCAUGGCCUGGACCGCCUAACAACCUGGAGGAGAUGCUUUGUUGGAAAGACCUAUGGCCUCAGAAAAGACCGGAGUCUCUUAGCUCAUUAGACAUAUAUGGAGCCUAUAUGACCAGGUGGUAUGAAUGGAC
rnacentral:lncRNA from 1 species